rnacentral:rRNA from 1 species
UAAUGUGGUUUAAUGGGAUGCGACGGGAAAAACCUUACCUACCCUUGACAUGCCAGGAACCUGGAAGAGAUUUCGGGGUGCUCGCAAGAGAGCCUGGACACAGGUGCUGCAUGGCUGUCGUCAGCUCGUGUCGUCAGAUGUUGGGUUAAGUCCCGCAACGAGCGCAACCCUUGCCAUUAGUUGCUACGGAUAGGGCACUCUAAUGGGACUGCCGGUGACAAACCGGAGGAAGGUGGGGAUGACGUCAAGUCCUCAUGGCCCUUAUGGGUAGGGCUACACACGUCAUACAAUGGCCGGUACAGAGGGCAGCCAACCCGCGAGGGGGAGCCAAUCCCAGAAAACCGGUCGUAGUCCGGAUUGCAGUCUGCAACUCGACUGCAUGAAGUCGGAAUCGCUAGUAAUCGCGGAUCAGCAUGCCGCGGUGAAUACGUUCCCGGGUCUUGUACACACCGCCCGUCACACCAUGGGAGCGGGUUCCGCCAGAAGUAGGUAGCCUAACCGCAAGGAGGGCGCUUACCACGGCGGGGUUCGUGACUGGGGUGAAGUCGUAACAAGGUA